rnacentral:rRNA from 1 species
GACGAACGCUGGCGGCGUGCUUAACACAUGCAAGUCGAACGGAAAGGCCCUGCUUUUGUGGGGUGCUCGAGUGGCGAACGGGUGAGUAACACGUGAGUAACCUGCCCUUGACUUUGGGAUAACUUCAGGAAACUGGGGCUAAUACCGGAUAGGAGCUCCUGCUGCAUGGUGGGGGUUCGAAAGUUUCGGCGGUUGGGGAUGGACUCGCGGCUUAUCAGCUUGUUGGUGGGGUAGUGGCUUACCAAGGCUUUGACGGGUAGCCGGCCUGAGAGGGUGACCGGCCACAUUGGGACUGAGAUACGGCCCAGACUCCUACGGGAGGCAGCAGUGGGGAAUAUUGCUCAAUGGGCGGAAGCCUGAUGCAGCAACGCCGCGUGCGGGAUGACGGCCUUCGGGUUGUAAACCGCUUUCGCCUGUGACGAAGCGUGAGUGACGGUAAUGGGUAAAGAAGCACCGGCUAACUACGUG